GAUGAACGCUGGCGGCGUGCCUAAUACAUGCAAGUCGAGCGAACGGACGAGAAGCUUGCUUCUCUGAUGUUAGCGGCGGACGGGUGAGUAACACGUGGAUAACCUACCUAUAAGACUGGGAUAACUUCGGGAAACCGUAGCUAAUACCGGAUAAUAUUUUGAACCGCAUGGUUCAAAAGUGAAAGACGGUCUUGCUGUCACUUAUAGAUGGAUCCGCGCUGCAUUAGCUAGUUGGUAAGGUAACGGCUUACCAAGGCAACGAUGCAUAGCCGACCUGAGAGGGUGAUCGGCCACCCUGGAACUGAGAAACGGUCCAGACUCCUACGGGAGGCAGCAGUAGGGAAUCUUCCGCAAUGGGCGAAAGCCUGACGGAGCAACGCCGCGUGAGUGAUGAAGGUCUUCGGAUCGUAAAACUCUGUUAUUAGGGAAGAACAUAUGUGUAAGUAACUGUGCACAACUUGACGGUACCUAAUCAGAAAGCCACGGCUAACUACGUG
rnacentral:rRNA from 1 species